ACAUCCAGAGAACUUGGCAGAGAUGCCUUGGUGCCUUCGGGACCUCUGAGACAGGUGCUGCAUGGCUGUCGUCAGCUCGUGUUGUGAAAUGUUGGGUUAAGUCCCGNAACGAGCGCAACCCCUAUCCUUUGUUGCCAGCGAUUCGGUCGGGAACUCAAAGGAGACUGCCGGUGAUAAACCGGAGGAAGGUGGGGAUGACGUCAAGUCAUCAUGGCCCUUACGAGUAGGGCUACACACGUGCUACGAUGGCGCAUACAAAGAGAAGCGACCUCGCGAGAGCAAGCGGACCUCAUAAAGUGCGUCGUAGUCCGGAUCGGAGUCUGCAACUCGACUCCGUGAAGUCGGAAUCGCUAGUAAUCGUAGAUCAGAAUGCUACGGUGAAUACGUUCCCGGGCCUUGUACACACCGCCCGUCACACCAUGGGAGUGGGUUGCAAAAGAAGUAGAUAGCUUAACCUUCGGGAGGGCGUUUACCACUUUGUGAUUCAUGACUGGGGUGAAGUCGUAACAAGGUAAGCGUAGCGAG
rnacentral:rRNA from 1 species